UACGUAGGGUGCAAGCGUUGUCCGGAAUUAUUGGGCGUAAAGAGCUCGUAGGCGGUCUGUCGCGUCGGAUGUGAAAAUCCAGGGCUCAACCCUGGACCUGCAUUCGAUACGGGCAGACUAGAGUUCGGCAGGGGAGACUGGAAUUCCUGGUGUAGCGGUGAAAAUGCGCAGAUAUCAGGAGGAACACCGGUGGCGAAGGCGGGUCUCUGGGCCGAUACUGACGCUGAGGAGCGAAAGCGUGGGGAGCAAACAGG
rnacentral:rRNA from 1 species